CCUCCUAUGUCUGGGAAACUGGCAGGAACUUAAACUUACUGAACACAAACGACCUACAAAGAAUCAGUCGGAUUUUAUCGCUCAAGCUUCAAGACCAAUUGCUUUUCAAGUUUUGAUGAACAAACAAAAGAAAUAUCGCACCUGUGAAAGCGACAUGUUCCUUUUAGUGGACACUACAAUAUCCAACAAUCGAACGAUUGAAGUAUCCUUGCCAUAAUGCCAUGAGAAUUUUGCGCACCUCUCCUGGAAUUCCCGCUGUUUCAAUACCAUUCCUCAAAUCAACUAUACCGUCAACUGGAGACUUUUCCAAAGUGGGUGCAACUCUUCCAGUGAAGAUAGAAGUGAUAUUGUUGAUGGUAGAACGGGCAAACUUGCUGGAAAGUCCACUAACAUUUUUAGUAUCAUUGGAAACAGGGUUGGCUCUGCCAGUUUGGUGCAAUCAGCAGUUCUGUUGCUUUUGUUGCGUUUCAAUUUCAGUAAAAUCCUUGGUAUCAGAGCAAGUCGUGGAUGAAUGAAGACUGUCCAGUUGUUACAAACUACGGAGAAAGCGUCCGUUACCAUUGCCCCAGGAUUGGGAUAACGUACUAUGUAUUUGGGUACUUGAUUGCUCAGUAGGGAAGCGAAUAAAUUCACUUGCGGUGUGUAA